rnacentral:rRNA from 1 species
AUUGAACGCUGGCGUCAGGCCUAACACAUGCAAGUCGAACGAGUGGCGGACGGGUGAGUAAUGUCUGGGAAACUGCCUGAUGGAGGGGGAUAACUACUGGAAACGGUAGCUAAUCCCGCCUACCAUCAGAUGUGCACAGAUGGGAUUAGCUUGUUGGGGGGGUAACGGCUCACCAAGGCUACGAUCCCUAGCUGGUCUGAGAGGAUGACCAGCCACACGGGAACGACGAAACGGUCAAGAAUCCUACGGUAGGCAGCAGGGGGGAAUAUGGCACAAUGGGCGCAAGCCUGAUGCAGCCAUGCCGCGUGUAUGAAGAAGGCCUUCGGGUUGUAAAGUACUUUCAGCGGGGAGGCGUUACCCGCAGAAGAAGCACCGGCUAACUCCGUGCCAGCAGCCGCGGUAAUAC